AGAGAUGCUCGUUUUAAUUCUUGAUACUGUGAUAUUCUAGUUGGUUUGACUGUCCUUCGUUGACAGUUUGUUUUUAUAAUUUCCAUGUAUUUAUGGUCAAU